GGCUCACAAUCCAAAAACCUUUACACUUUGGUUUUCCGGGUUCACCAAAAACCUAUGUUGGUUUUACGGGCUCACCAAUGAACCUAUACAAUUGGUUUUACGGGUUCACCAACAACCUACGUUGGUUUUACGGGCUUACCAACAACCUAUGUUGGUUUUACGGGCUCACCAACGAACCUUUACAAUUGGUUUUCCGGAUUCACCAAUCAACCUAUUCCGUUGGUUUUGCGGGCUAACCAAUCAACCUUUACAAGUAGUCUAAUAAACAAAGGAAGAAGAUUUAAACUCCUAGAUGAGCAAAUAUAACAAUAUAAUCUACAAAGAAGAGUUUAGAGAAUAUUUAUCGCUUGAUGUGACUUCUCUCUUCUUUGUCAAGGAUGCUUCACUCUUCAAGGGUGGAUGGAGCUCUUGAUGACUUUUUGAAUCUGCUCAACCACUUUCUUUUGAU
rnacentral:lncRNA from 1 species